rnacentral:rRNA from 1 species
UUUGAACGUUGGCGGCAGGCUUAACACAUGCAAGUCGAACGAGAAAAUGCCUUCGGGCAUGAGUACAGUGGCGGACGGGUGAGUAACGCGUAGGAACCUACCUGGUAGUGGGGGAUAACUCGGGGAAACUCGAGCUAAUACCGCAUACGCUCUACGGAGGAAAGAGGGCCUCUAUUUAUAAGCUCUCGUUAUCAGAGGGGCCUGCGUUGGAUUAGCUAGUUGGUAGGGUAAAGGCCUACCAAGGCGACGAUCCAUAGCUGGUCUGAGAGGACGAUCAGCUACACUGGAAAUGAGACACGGUCCAGACUCCUACGGGAGGCAGCAGUGGGGAAUCUUGGGCAAUGGGCGCAAGCCUGACCCAGCCAUGCCGCGUGUGCGAAGAAGGCCUUCGGGUUGUAAAGCACUUUCAGUGGUGAAGAAAAGCCAGGGGCUAAUACCCCCGGGUCUUGACGUUAGCCACAGAAGAAGCACCGGCUAACUCCGUGCCAGCAGCCGCAGUAACAC